UGUGGUUAAUGUGUCCCACUAUGGAAGAAAAGUAUGGAGUAGCUAUUAAGCCUUCCUAGUAUCGACCGUACACCUUAUGUGUAACGGCCAUUAUGCAAACACUAAAUCCAGAAAGGAUAAAAGUAACAGACGAACCUAAAGACAAGAAAGAUAUGCAAGUGUGACUUGCAAAAGUGACAACUAUAAAGAACUCUAUUGAGUUUCUGAAAUGAAAUGAGGAAAAAGUACUCCCAUACUAGUUAACUUAUAACUUCAUUUUAUAUGAAGUGAUAAGAUGAAUGAGCUAGAUAAUUGAAGUUUCCUCAUUUCACAAUAACUAUGAAUGGCUUUCGAAAUUGUGGCAGAAAAGUUCUUGCCACAUUUCGAGGGGGAGAUAGAGACAUGAAAUACAUUGUAGUGUAUUUCACGACUCCUCUAUACUUUAGAUGAUGUGAUGCACAUUAUGCAUCUAAAGUGAUCCAUUAAUGAAGAAUGUGAUUGUCAUGGGGAGUACGACAGUCAUUUGAAUAUCGUUAUUAUGAUACCCCUAAAGUAAAGAAACAAUUGUAUUUCUGGAUCUUUUAUAGUUCCGAAAGCAGACUAAGGAAUACAACAAUGGUGCUCAAAGUACCAUAAAGAAGAAAGUUUAAAGAUACGCCAUUUCUUUAGUGAGAUGGAGUAAUCUGGGGGAGCAUGUUAUAUGACCUAUACAACACCUGUUGUUAGCUCUACAAGGGAUCUUGUGAUACAGGUCCGUGUAAAACCUAUUGCCUUUUGGAAAUGGGUGACUAAAGAAUUAAUUUGCCUCUUGGCAAUGACAGAGCAAUGACAACCCCAUAUGAAAGAAGUGCCAAUACCUGAGAUUUUGAUGGUCUCUAGGAAUGUGAAAAUCAGAUACUUGUGACUACUAUGAAGUCUAUGUUAGUGANN
rnacentral:lncRNA from 1 species